rnacentral:rRNA from 2 species
ACGGAAGGCAGCAGUGGGGAAUAUUGCACAAUGGGCGAAAGCCUGAUGCAGCGACGCCGCGUGAGUGAAGAAGUAUCUCGGUAUGUAAAGCUCUAUCAGCAGGGAAGAAAAUGACGGUACCUGACUAAGAAGCCCCGGCUAACUACGUGCCAGCAGCCGCGGUAAUACGUAGGGGGCAAGCGUUAUCCGGAUUUACUGGGUGUAAAGGGAGCGUAGACGGUUUGGCAAGUCUGAAGUGAAAUGCGGGGGCUCAACUCCUGAACUGCUUUGGAAACUGUCGAACUAGAGUGCAGGAGAGGUAAGUGGAAUUCCUAGUGUAGCGGUGAAAUGCGUAGGUAUUAGGAGGAACACCAGUGGCGAAGGCGGCUUACUGGACUGUAACUGACGUUGAGGCUCGAAAGCGUGGGGAGCAAACAGGAUUAGAUACCCUGGUA